rnacentral:rRNA from 1 species
CCUACGGGAGGCUGCAGUGAGGAAUAUUGGUCAAUGGACGAGAGUCUGAACCAGCCAAGUAGCGUGAAGGAUGACUGCCCUAUGGGUUGUAAACUUCUUUUAUAUGGGAAUAAAAUGUUCCACGUGUGGGAUUUUGUAUGUACCAUAUGAAUAAGGAUCGGCUAACUCCGUGCCAGCAGCCGCGGUAAUACGGAGGAUCCGAGCGUUAUCCGGAUUUAUUGGGUUUAAAGGGAGCGUAGGUGGAUUGUUAAGUCAGUUGUGAAAGUUUGCGGCUCAACCGUAAAAUUGCAGUUGAAACUGGCAGUCUUGAGUACAGUAGAGGUGGGCGGAAUUCGUGGUGUAGCGGUGAAAUGCUUAGAUAUCACGAAGAACUCCGAUUGCGAAGGCAGUUCACUGGACUGCAACUGACACUGAGGCUCGAAAGUGUGGGUAUCAAACAGGAUUAGAUACCCUUGUGUC